UCUGCCCCUAAGACGAGGAUAACAGUUGGAAACGACUGCUAAGACUGGAUAGGAGACAAGAAGGCAUCUUCUUGUUUUUAAAAGACCUAGCAAUAGGUAUGCUUAGGGAGGAGCUUGCGUCACAUUAGUUAGUUGGUGGGGUAAAGGCCUACCAAGACUAUGAUGUGUAUCAGGGCUGAGAGGUUGAACGGCCACAUUGGGACUGAGACACGGCCCAAACUCCUACGGGAGGCAGCAGUAGGGAAUUUUCGGCAAUGGAGGAAACUCUGACCGAGCAACGCCGCGUGAACGAUGAAGUAUUUCGGUACGUAAAGUUCUUUUAUUAGGGAAGAAUAAAUGAUGGAAAAAUCAUUCUGACGGUACCUAAUGAAUAAGCCCCGGCUAACUAUGUGCCAGCAGCCGCGGUAAUACAUAAGGGGCAAGCGUUAUCCGGAAUUAUUGGGCGUAAAGGGUGCGUAGGCGGUUAAAUAAGUUUAUGGGUCUAAGUGCAAUGCUCAACAUUGUGAUGCUAUAAAAACUGUUUAGCUAGAGUAAGAUAGAGGCAAGUGGGAAUUCCAUGUGUAGUGGUAAAAUGCGUAAAUAUAUGGAGGAACACCAGUAGCGAAGGCGGCUUGCUGGGUCUUUACUGACGCUGAGGCACGAAAGCGUGGGGAGCAAACAGGAUUAGAUACCCUGGUAGUCCACGCCGUAAACGAUGAGUACUAAACGUUGGGUAAAACCAGUGUUGAAGUUAACACAUUAAGUACUCCGCCUGAGUAGUACGUACGCAAGUAUGAAACUUAAAGGAAUUGACGGGACUCCGCACAAGCGGUGGAUCAUGUUGUUUAAUUUGAAGGUACCCGAAAAACCUCACCAGGUCUUGACAUGCUUCUGCAAAGCUGUAGAAACACAGUGGAGGUUAUCAGUUGCACAGGUGGUGCAUGGUUGUCGUCAGCUCGUGUCGUGAGAUGUUGGGUUAAGUCCCGCAACGAGCGCAACCCUUAUUGUUAGUUACCAGCACGUAAUGGUGGGGACUUUAGCAAGACUGCCAGUGAUAAAUUGGAGGAAGGUGGGGACGACGUCAAAUCAUCAUGCCCCUUAUGACCUGGGCUACAAACGUGAUACAAUGGCUGUUACAAAGGGUAGCUGAAGCGCAAGUUUUUGGCGAAUCUCAAAAAAACAGUCUCAGUUCGGAUUGAAGUCUGCAACUCGACUUCAUGAAGUUGGAAUCGCUAGUAAUCGCGAAUCAGCAUGUCGCGGUGAAUA
rnacentral:rRNA from 1 species